GCGAUAGUGGCGUAGUUGGUAACGUGCGACCUUGCCAAGGUCGAGACCGCGGGUUCGAGCCCCGUCUAUCGCUC
rnacentral:tRNA from 1 species